rnacentral:misc_RNA from 1 species
UAGGGAGACCUAAUCCAUUUAGAAAUCGAAAGCAGUGAAAAUUGUGGGUAGAAACUAAAUUGGUCUAACCUAGGUCGGUCGAGAUUGGAAAAAAUCUUUCAAAGUAUUAUUUGGCUUAGUUCAAUAGGAAAGAAAACAGCACCUAACUAUAAAAGUUAGACUGCUGGGUGAAAUUCCAGCCAGAACCUUGAAAACUGCAUAAGAGAACGAGAAAAGCAGGCAGACACAGACAUGAGAGUGUUUCGUGAAAGCAAAGAAAAAUUGUGGUCAAGCUAAUAAGGGC